CCUACGGGUGGCAGCAGUGGGGGAUAUUGCACAAUGGGGGGAACCCUGAUGCAGCGACGCCGCGUGGGUGAAGGAGCGUUUCGGCGCGUAAAGCCCUAUCGGCAGGGAAGAACGGUCACUGUGCUAAUCAGCAGUGAAUUGACGGUACCUGCAAAGGAAGCACCGGCUAACUACGUGCCAGCAGCCGCGGUAAUACGUAGGGGGCAAGCGUUAUCCGGAUUUACUGGGUGUAAAGGGAGCGUAGACGGCCAGACAAGUCAGAAGUGAAAACCCGCGGCUCAACUGCGGGAGUGCUUUUGAAACUGUUUGGCUGGAGUGCAGGAGAGGUAAGUGGAAUUCCUAGUGUAGCGGUGAAAUGCGUAGAUAUUAGGAGGAACACCAGUGGCGAAGGCGGCUUACUGGACUGUAACUGACGUUGAGGCUCGAAAGCGUGGGGAGCAAACAGGAUUAGAUACCCCAGUAGUC
rnacentral:rRNA from 1 species